rnacentral:lncRNA from 1 species
CUAAGCCCAUCAACCAGGCAGUCUAGUGAGAGGAAACGCAGCGGCGAGGCCGAUGGCUCCCACUGGCGAGAAGAACUGAAAAUAAAGGAAUACUACAGGAAGUGGGGGCAGUGGAUUAAAAUGUCACAACUGGAAAGCAGGAUGCUGAAUCUUGAGUUACGUGUUGAGAGAAGAGAAAGAGAAGGAGGAACUGAGGAGGAGCCAGCCAAGGCGGGGGUCUGCUGAGCUGGCGGAAUGUGGCAGGGCUGGGACGCUACAGAAGUAAAAGUGAUACUAAGUGACAAGAACAAGCAGUUGGAAAAAGUCUGUCUUAAAAGGAGGUUUGCAACAUACAAGCUUACAAUUACUAACUGGAGAGGAAGGAAGGGCCCUUCUUGACCUCUGAAAGGCCCUGACCUGGCUUCAACUCUCAGCUGCUCACUCAGAUUUUGUCCCCCACAUAUUGACACAUGUCCUAAUGAAGUCUGUGGAUGCAGAGAAGGGAGGAAGAAAUAACAAAAUUCUAUAGAAGACGAACAGAAGCUAUUUCUUCAUUAAGCAGUGACAUCAAAAUCUAUCACAUCAGUAUUGAAAAGCACCAGGUGACAUUGUGCAUUCAGGCUCCUAAGGCUGCUUCUGAAUGUGUCUACUGAAUACCAGAGAACUGUGAUGCAGCAGAGACCAAGCUGACCGCCAGCCUUGUACCAGCUCGUAAAGACGGAAAUGAGUCAUCCAUUUUUCACCCACACUCUUGAAACUAAACCUGAAAGGGAAAAAGUUUAAUGCAACAGACAACUCCAUCUUGUUUAUUGCCCUGUCCACAUCUGCUAGAGCAGUGCCUGGAACGUGCAGGACAGCAGGAACAAG